GACGAACCGUGCGAACGUUAUUCGGAAUCACUGGGCUUAAAGCGCGUGUAGGCGGCCCGGCACGUCCGUCGCUGAAAUCCCCCGGCUCAACCGGGGAAGUGGCGUGGAUACGACCGGGCUGGAGGGGGGUAGGGGGAGCCGGAACUUCCGGUGGAGCGGUGAAAUGCGUUGAGAUCGGAAGGAACGCCCGUGGCGAAAGCGGGCUCCUGGACCACACCUGACGCUGAGACGCGAAAGCCAGGGGAGCGAACGGG
rnacentral:rRNA from 1 species